UAAUUGACUUGGUAACGCAGCUAACGCGUGAAGUAGACCGCCUGGGGAGUACGGUCGCAAGAUUAAAACUCAAAGGAAUUGACGGGGACCCGCACAAGCGGUGGAUGAUGUGGAUUAAUUCGAUGCAACGCGAAAAACCUUACCUACCCUUGACAUGGCUGGAAUCCUGAAGAGAUUUGGGAGUGCUCGAAAGAGAACCAGUACACAGGUGCUGCAUGGCUGUCGUCAGCUCGUGUCGUGAGAUGUUGGGUUAAGUCCCGCAACGAGCGCAACCCUUGUCAUUAGUUGCUACGAAAGGGCACUCUAAUGAGACUGCCGGUGACAAACCGGAGGAAGGUGGGGAUGACGUCAAGUCCUCAUGGCCCUUAUGGGUAGGGCUUCACACGUCAUACAAUGGUACAUACAGAGCGCCGCCAACCCGCGAGGGGGAGCUAAU
rnacentral:rRNA from 1 species